GCUUUUGGGAUAUAUUUUUCAACAAAUCUGUUCCUACCAUGUCGUAUGAGAUAUGGUACAAUAAGAAGCCAAGUCUAAAUUAUCUUAAGACUUAGGGAUAUUCAGCCUAUGUCAAGAGAUAGAUGACUGAUAAAUUAGAGGAUAGAUCUGUCAUAGCUCAUUUUAUAGGGUAUCCAAAAAAAUCAAUGGGGUACUACUUCUACUUUU
rnacentral:lncRNA from 1 species